GACGAACGCUGGCGGCGUGCUUAACACAUGCAAGUCGAACGGUGAUGCUCCAGCUUGCUGGAGUGGAUCAGUGGCGAACGGGUGAGUAACACGUGAGCAACCUGCCCCAGACUCUGGAAUAAGCGCUGGAAACGGCGUCUAAUACUGGAUACGAAACUGGCCCGCAUGGGCAUGGUUUGGAAAGUUUUUCGGUUUGGGAUGGGCUCGCGGCCUAUCAGCUUGUUGGUGAGGUAAUGGCUCACCAAGGCGACGACGGGUAGCCGGCCUGAGAGGGCGACCGGCCACACGGGGACUGAGACACGGCCCAGACUCCUACGGGAGGCAGCAGUGGGGAAUAUUGCACAAUGGGCGAAAGCCUGAUGCAGCGACGCCGCGUGAGGGAGGACGGCCUUCGGGUGGUAAACCUCUUUCAGCAGGGAAGAAGCGAAAGUGACGGUACCUGCAGAAGAAGCACCGGCUAACUACGU
rnacentral:rRNA from 1 species